UUCAGGAUGAGAGGUUAGACAUAAUCUAUUCCAUUCCAAAGCUUUCAACAGCCGAACAAAGCAUAAUUUCUGCUGAUGGAUGGCAGGUAGGUUUAGUCUUGCACACACAUGCAGUAUAUACACAGAAGAAGCGAGUAGUGAUCCUGUACAAAGGCUGGACGAGCUAGCUUCCUAAUCGCCAUUGGAGAUCAGCUAAUAUUCUCCAGGUGAGUACUAGGCACAAUCAUUUACACACAUAACUAGAGAAGAAAGUGAAGGGAUAAUAGCAGCUCUAGCUACAACCGGCGGCGGUCGGAGGAGGCGAGGCCGUCGUCGAAGUUCUGAGAGUAGCUCUGCAGGUCGUACCCGAAGCUCACCGCGGCCCGACGCCUCGGCCGCGCGGCGCGUCUCCUCCUCCACGUGGACCUCAGCCUCGACAGCAGCUGCUUCACCGCCGCCGCCGACCGGCCGCCGCUCCUCCUCCGGCUGUUGCUGCCGCCGGUGUACAGGCCCAGCUGCAGAGACGCCAUCCUCUCCUAGCUCUCUCGAUCAGUCGAUCGCUAACACGAUCACAGUCGGAGCGUUAUGUUAUGAUCAGAACGCAGACUUGUCGCGCUCGCAAGUCGCAACUAGCUGCCCGCGGCCUCUCUGCUCGUAGCUACCUCUGCAAUGAAGCUUCUCAAGACCUUGUGCCAGAGAACGCACCCCAUGGUGCUGCUUUUAUAAGCUGGGGCAGGUGAUGUGUUCCGACACGCGUCGUCGCGGCGAGACCCGCCAGCAGCAUGGUGACGAGACAUCCACUACGGCGAUCGCCGUGUGGACGACGGUCCGGGCAAAAGCCGAUUCCAGGCAUCUUUUUCGUGCGGUCGAAAAGAAAAGGUAACCGUCGUCUAGCACGCACCAACCGCAGCACAGCAGCAUGCGUGUUUUUGUUGGUUUGGUGGUAGGCUUUCCUUACUCGGUUACUCCUUAGUGACCUGUCGAGCUAGCUAGGACGCAUCAUGCAUGAGAGAGAGGUGGCCACGGCCGUCGCCGGCCUGAACCGCUGCUAGUGAAGCGGAGGUGCGUUAUGGUCGGCGCCCUCGUGUCGUGAUGCCGAGCUAGUCUACCGUGCACGCGCGCGGGGGGCGCCGGUCGACUGGAAUGUCACCUGCAGAAUGCGUUUCCGCUGCCUGUCGCCUGCCGAUUGCCGAAUAAUCCCUGGGUGAGUUGGGCGAGGUGUUUUAUUUCAAAAAGGAAAAGUUGGCCGAGAUGUGAUGCGGCUCCAUUGUAUUGCUACUCGAGGCUACGAUUUGCCCGCGUGCACAGCAGUGCUCAACAUGACAUGUCAUCACAGCAGGCUGGGAUCUUAUCCUUGUAGAUGAAAGGCAAAUUGAAUCCAAAAGUAUAUACUCCACAACGUACACGUGUCUUAAAGCUUGGAACAUGGACACAUGGUCGUCUUUGGAUAAUCCUAAAAGAAGAUGACAUCGAGUCAUAAUCAUGCGUAGGAUUGAGGUGGGAGCGUAUUAGAAAGUGGUCUACUGACUACAACGAACUAGUGCAUCGUAAAGAAAGAGAAAGGGAACGCACUAGUGUUAAAGCAAAAAAAAAAACAUCGAGAUCAUUCGUUGAAUGGAUAUCGGGAACACAGAAAUUGUCAUGUUCCGAUGACAACGAAUUUUUACAUCCUGCAAAAGUGUAGUCGGAAAGAAAUUAAUUAAGGGGUGUUUGGCCCCUGUCACAUCAGAUGUUUGAUACUAAUUAGGAGUAUUAAACAUAGGCUAAUUACAAAACUAAUUGUACAACUCCUAGGCUAAAUCGCGAGACGAAUCUAUUAAGCCUAAUUAGUCCAUGAUUUGGCAAUGUGGCGCUACAGUAACUAUUCGCUAAUGAUGGAUUAAUUAGGCUUAAUAGAUUCGUCUCGUGAUUUAGCCUAAAGGUUCUGCUAUUAGUUUUAUAAUUAGCUCAUAUUUAGUCCUCCUAAUUAGUAUCCAAACAUCCGAUAGGUUAAAGUUUAGCCCCUACCUUCCAAACAUCCCAGCUAAAUGCACACUGAUGUCAAAGCAAUUUCGUCCUCUAGAAGGGGAGCGAGGAAGCUUCGAGUCAUCAGUCUGAUCGACGUAUUACACAAAAAGGAUCCAAGAAUUGGUGGUGGCAGCAUGGGGAUCGGUGUCGUACAGAUGAUCCGAGUCAUCGUGGUCCAAGGAUGACUGGCCAUAUUUUCGCUUUUAAACUUUUGCCAUGAUGUUAGAUUUUUGCUUGCGUGAUGCGCUCCCUUUUACACGGCUACUUCUCAGUACCUUUAACUUGGCUACAGAAAUUAAGAACAAAAUGAUUUUUCGUUUGGAAUCAGCUACAAAAGUUCCCACAGAAUUUGUCUAUUUAAGUAUUUUUCAACUCCACUUUUGAUUAGGAUUGUAAAUUUCGCCUUAUAAUGCAGCAAAAUAGUUAAAACAUGAGAAUCUAAGUAUAAAUAUUAGUCACGGUACUGCAAAACAUGAGAAAAAGGUGCAUGAUUUACUCUUUUGGUCACUUAUCGAAUACCUAUAUGUCUUGGUUUUUACAAAAUGGAACUUGUCAUGCUUCUGCAUUCUCGAUUAAUGCAGCGGCUAAGGUAAUUUUAUUUAAAUCCACUAUAUAUCCCAAAAGAAAAGCGAAUACCUGUCGGAUCAACAAAUUUUGCACGAGAACAUAUCACAUCAUCAGCUAAAAAGAAACCAAAACUAGAGUUUUAAAAUUUUGUGGCAUUCAUAAUUUCAGCGAUCUCACUGGCCACCGAAAAAUCCGCUAGAAAGCCGCAGACAGUUUGGGCCGAUGAACAACAACAAUCGGUUACAGGUUUGUGGCACAUAUCAGAACAGAGAAAGAUCUCAGAAUCAGGUUAGAAGCCAUUCCAUUCCAAGCUUCCCACAGCUGAACAAAGCAUAAUUUUGCUGAUGGAUGGCAGGUUUAGUUUAGUCUUGCAUACACAGCUGACUACACAGAAUUACAAGAAGCGAGGUGAUCCUGUACAAAUUAAAGACUGCACGAGCUAGCUAGCUAAUCAUCACUGGAAAUCGGCUAGUACUCUCCCGGUGACGAGGCACAAUCAUUUACACACAGAACUGGAGAAGAAACUGAAGGAAUAAUAGUACUGGCUCAUAGCUCUAGGUUCUAGCUACAACCGGCGGUGGUCGGAGGAGGCGAGGCCGUCGUCGAAGUUGUGGCAGUAGCUCUGCAGGUCGUACCCGAACCUCACCGCGGCCCUCCUCGGCCGCACCACGCGUCUCCUCCACGUGGACCUCAGCCUCGACAGCAGCUGCUUCGCCGCCGCCGCCGCCGACAGGCCGCCGCUCCUGGCAUGGAACCUCCUCCGGCUGCCGCCGGUGUACAGGCCCAGCUGCAGAGAUGGCAUCCUCUCUCUCGAUCGCUCACAAGUCACAAGCUAGGCACAAACUCUCUCGCAACUAGCUUCCCGGCCUCUCUGCUCGUAGCUACCUCUGCGACUGAAGCUUCUGAAGACCUUGAGCCAAAGAACGCACCCCAUGACCCCAUAUAUGGUGCUGCUUUGUAAGCUGGGGGCAGGGGAUGUGUUCCGACACGCGUCGACGUCGCGGCAAGACCCGCCAGCAGCGCGGUGACGAGGCUUCCACUACGGCGAUCGCCGGAAUGGUCUGGGCAAAAUCCGAUCUGAGGCAUCUUUUCCAGCACUGCUGUGGAAUGCCUUCGGUACCGGUCCUAAAGCCCGUUUGUACUGGUCGUG
rnacentral:lncRNA from 1 species